rnacentral:rRNA from 1 species
GCCUUGAUGUGUAGGAUAGGUGGGAGGCUUUGAAGCGUGGACGCCAGUCUGCAUGGAGCCGACCUUGAAAUACCACCCUUUAAUGUUUGAUGUUCUAACGUGGACCCGUUACCCGGGUUGCGGACAGUGUCUGGUGGGUAGUUUGACUGGGGCGGUCUCCUCCUAAAGAGUAACGGAGGAGCACGAAGGUUGGCUAAUCCUGGUCGGACAUCAGGAGGUUAGUGCAAUGGCAUAAGCCAGCUUGACUGCGAGCGUGACGGCGCGAGCAGGUGCGAAAGCAGGUCAUAGUGAUCCGGUGGUUCUGAAUGGAAGGGCCAUCGCUCAACGGAUAAAAGGUACUCCGGGGAUAACAGGCUGAUACCGCCCAAGAGUUCAUAUCGACGGCGGUGUUUGGCACCUCGAUGUCGGCUCAUCACAUCCUGGGGCUGAAGUAGGUCCCAAGGGUAUGGCUGUUCGCCAUUUAAAGUGGUACGCGAGCUGGGUUUAGAACGUCGUGAGACAGUUCGGUCCCUAUCUGCCGUGGGCGCUGGAGAACUGAGGGGGGCUGCUCCUAGUACGAGAGGACCGGAGUGGACGCAUCACUGGUGUUCGGGUUGUCAUGCCAAUGGCACUGCCCGGUAGCUAAAUGCGGAAGAGAUAAGUGCUGAAAGCAUCUAAGCACGAAACUUGCCCCGAGAUGAGUUCUCCCUGAGACUUUGAGUCUCCUGAAGGAACGUUGAAGACGACGACGUUGAUAGGCCGGGUGUGUAAGCGCAGCGAUGCGUUG